GGGUGACAUCUGCAAGCUUGAGAUGUUUGCCCGAUACAAUCUUUCGACAAAAACAUCUGUCAUUUCCUUCUCACAGAUUGUAGUGAAAUCUGUGAGUCUCAUACUGACAGAGACAUUG